GCGUGGGAAUGUACCCUUCUCUAUGGAAUAGCCAUUGGAAACGAUGAGUAAUACCAUAUACGCCCUUCGGGGAAGGAUUUAUCGGAGAAGGAUCAGCCCGCGUUAGAUUAGAUAGUUGGUGGGGUAAGUGGCCUACCAAGUCUACGAUCUAUAGCUGGUUUUAGAGGACGAUCAGCAACACUGGGACUGAGACAUGGCCCAGACUCCUACGGGAGGCAGCAGUGGGGAAUCUUAGACAAUGGGCGCAAGCCUGAUCUAGCCAUGCCGCGUGAGUGAUGAAGGCCUUAGGGUCGUAAAGCU
rnacentral:rRNA from 1 species